rnacentral:rRNA from 1 species
UACGUAGGGUGCGAGCGUUGCCCGGAUUUAUUGGGCGUAAAGGGCGCGUAGGCGGCCACGCACGUCCGUUGUGAAAUCGCCCGGCUCAACUGGGCGGGGUCGGCGGAUACGGCGUGGCUGGAGCAAGCUAGGGGGCAAUGGAAUUCCCGGUGUAGUGGUGGAAUGCGUAGAUAUCUGGAGGAACACCGGUGGCGAAGGCGGCAUCCUGGACCAAUUCUGACGCUGAGGAGCGAAAGCCAGGGGAGCAAACGGG